UACGGAGGGUGCGAGCGUUACCCGGAUUUACUGGGUGUAAAGGGCGUGUAGGCGGUCUCUCAAGUCCGAUGCUAAAGACCGAAGCUCAACUUCGGGGGUGCGUUGGAUACUGUGAGGCUAGACGGUCGGAGAGGGUAGCGGAAUUUCCGGAGUAGCGGUGAAAUGCGCAGAGACCGGAAGGAACGCCAAUAGCGAAGGCAGCUACCUGGACGAUUGGUGACGCUGAGGCGCGAAAGAGUGGGGAGCAAACCGG
rnacentral:rRNA from 1 species